UGCAUAAACGAAGGCUAAGCUCUGUUUCUCUCUCCCUGUUUUGCUCUGUACUUGAAGAUCACUGUACUCUUCCGUUCAGCGCUCCACAGAUCUUCGUCUUCUCUGUCGGUCGGUUCUGGACUCUGAUUUUUCCUACAUUUUCUGUUCUCAGUUUCAAAUUUGGGGUUUCCCAUGGCCGUAGAUGAUUCCUGAGUCUUCUUCUCCGGCGAAGUUUGCCGUCCUUCAUGAACCACUGGCUGUACGAUGCCUGAGCUCCAUAGCAAAGCACGCCGGAGCCGGCUAUACGAAGACCCUGUCCCGAUUGCGCGCCAAACACCCAUUGAGUCAACUGUGAGAAUACGCCACCGAGGGCAGCCGGCUAAACGCGGCGGAGGGAAGAGUGUUAAGCAGGGGAGAGACGCGAUCCUUGCCGAUGGUGAGAGGGAUAGAGUGAACCCUGGAAUCGGUAUUGAAACGAGGCUGCGUGAGAGAAAACACGAAGUUGGGAAGGAUAAAGACGUACUGAAGCUUGGUGGCAGAGCCAUGGAUGAGUUUGAUACCGGUGGACGGAACGGCGAUAAGGGUCCUGUAGCCGAGGAUGAAGGGACGGCUACUCCUCUUCCGGAGAAGGUUCAGGUUGGUGGUUCUCCGUUAUAUAAAGUUGAAAGAAAACUGGGAAAAGGAGGUUUUGGACAGGUGUUUGUGGGUCGACGGAUGGGUCCCACGAGCUUGAAUGAAAGAUCUGGCCCGGGAGCUGUGGAGGUGGCCUUAAAAUUUGAGCAUAGAAGUAGUAAAGGGUGCAACUAUGGACCUCCUUACGAGUGGCAGGUUUACAACGUUUUAGGUGGUAGCCAUGGUGUGCCACGAGUUCAUUACAAGGGUCAGCAAGGUGACUAUUUUGUCAUGGUUAUGGACAUGCUUGGACCUAGUCUUUGGGAUGUCUGGAAUAACAAUGCUCACACGAUGUCUAUAGAAAUGGUAGCGUGUAUCGCAAUUGAGGCGAUCUCUAUAUUAGAGAAGAUGCAUUCUAGAGGGUAUGUGCAUGGUGACGUGAAGCCUGAAAACUUUCUGCUCGGUCCUCCAGGAACCCCAGAAGAGAAAAAGUUGUUUCUUGUAGAUCUUGGUUUAGCAACCAAGUGGCGAGAUAGUUCGACUGGUCAACAUGUUGAGUAUGAUCAACGGCCUGACAUUUUCCGAGGAACAGUUCGGUAUGCUAGUGUGCAUGCACAUCUUGGCAGAACUGCUAGUCGAAGAGAUGACUUGGAAUCGCUUGCUUACACUCUUGUUUUUCUUAUUCGUGGUCGGCUGCCUUGGCAAGGAUAUCAGGGUGAAAAUAAAGGAUUCCUUGUGUCCAAGAAGAAGAUGGCUACGUCCUCCGAAACAUUGUGCUGUUUUUGCCCUCAGCCUUUUAGACAGUUUGUCGAGUAUGUUGUAAAUUUGAAAUUUGACGAAGAGCCAAACUAUGCAAGAUAUAUCUCCCUCUUUGAUGGGAUUGUCGGUCCGAAUCCCGCUAUCCAUCCAAUAAACACAGAUGGUGCUCAGAAACUUAUAUUUCAGGUUGGGCAUAAGAGAGGAAGGCUAUCCAUGGAGGACGACGACGAUGAACAACCAAAGAAGAAGGUUAGAAUGGGGAUGCCUGCAACUCAAUGGAUUAGUGUUUAUAACGCCUGUAGACCAAUGAAACAAAGAUAUCACUAUAACGUUGCUGAUAUGAGGCUCUCUCAGCACAUCGAGAAAGGGAAUGAAGAUGGUUUAUUUAUUAGUUGUGUUGCUUCGUGUUCGAACCUUUGGGCCCUUAUUAUGGACGCUGGAACUGGAUUUACUGCUCAAGUUUAUGAACUCUCACCAUGCUUUCUUCACAAGGAGUGGAUCGUGGAACAGUGGGAGAAAAACUAUUACAUCAGUGCAAUAGCAGGAGCUAAUAAUGGGAGCUCAUUGGUAGUGAUGUCCAAAGGGACUCAGUACCUCCAGCAAUCCUAUAAAGUCAGCGAUUCAUUUCCCUUCAAGUGGAUACUUAAGAAAUGGAGGGAGGGAUUUUACGUUACUGCCAUGGCUACGGCCGGGAGUAGAUGGGCUAUUGUCAUGUCACGUGGUGCAGGAUUUUCGGACCAGGUUGUGGAACUAGAUUUCCUGUAUCCUAGCGAAGGUAUUCAUCGCAGGUGGGAUAAUGGUUACCGCAUCACGUCAACUGCAGCAACUUUGGACCAGGCUGCGUUUGUUCUGAGUGUGCCAAGGCGAAAGCCCGCUGAUGAAACUCAAGAAACACUCCGAACAUCUGCCUUUCCUAGUACACAUGUCAAGGAGAAAUGGGCAAAGAACCUUUAUAUUGCAUCUAUUUGCUAUGGCCGAACCAUUUCAUGAAACACCCCUAAGCCGAUACCACUUAGAGCCUGCAAUUUUUAACAGACGGUGCUCUUCUCUGGGCGGAUACGAAUUUUUAGGACACAGUUGACUGGGGAAAAUGGAGUCGAUGUAGCUAAACUGUUCAUUAACGUCGCCACCGUACUGCAUCAGAUACAGGCACCUAUGCUCUGGCUUUCAUUCAUGUUAUUCAAUAGAUUACAAGAUUUCUCAUGAAACCAGAGGUUCUGUAGCUGAACAUAGUCGAGGCACGAAUCGCGGCUACGUUUGGCUGUUCGAGAGGCUGAAUGUGGCGUUUUGCUAAUGGACUUGUUGGUCAGAUUCAGCCACCAUCUUUUAGCAGCUAGUUCGCCUCUUAUAGCUUGUCGAUUUGGUAAUGGCAGUUCACUAUUACCCUUCCCUUCUUGUGUUUGGCAUAGUGUUCGAGUCAGAAAAUUUCGGGACUCCAUCGUUCAUCGAGAAUGAACAAUGGCUGCCUUCUGGUUUCCAAGCGCUCAAUGAACUAUUGUGUUUGGUGUUGUGUGGUGUUUGGAUCUUUGAUUAGCACUUCCACAAUGUAUAAUUGCUGAUGCCUCUCGGAUGACUAGCCAUGUACACGGUGCGUGACAGGGUUUUAAGCUUGAAGAAUUCUCAUGGAAUUCGUUGCCUCUACUUCGUCGUCCCCACCGGAUGGCCCCCGUCUUCACCUUCAUCGGUUCAAGCCCUCCCAAGCUGUGGCUGACCGGAUUGUUCGAGCUCUCCACCAUCACCUCCACCUCCUUUACCGCUCCAAUUCUAACUUCUUUGUGUUGGGAGCCACAGGCAAUGUUUACAUCGUGUCUCUAUCCUCCACCCCCUCGUGUACUUGUCCUGAUCGUAUUACCCCAUGCAAACACAUACUAUUUAUCUAUAUUCGAGCUCUGGGCUUGUCGCUUGACGACGUAUGUCUUCGGAGGAGAACGCUUCGACCUUGCCAGUUGAAUCGUUUGCUUGCUGCACCUAUAAUGUUAGAAUCACUUGCAGAGAUUGGCAUACGUAGAAUAUUUCAUCAACAAUUCUUUCAGGUAAAAGAAAGAGGUUCUUCUGCAAAUGUUGUGGAAGAAGGGACUGCAUGUCCUGUUUGUUUGGAUGAUAUGAAGAAGAAUGAUCGUGUUGUAGCUUGUUCGACAUGUCGGAAUCUUGUUCAUGAAAAUUGUUUCUUGAGGUGGAAACGAAGCAAGGGAAGGAGAAGUGUUAGUUGUGUAGUGUGUAGGGCACGGUGGAAAGAGACGACAGAUCAACAAAAGUAUUUGAAUUUGUCUGCCUAUGUCAACGAACACGACGUAGUUGACAACAAUAUCUAGACUAGUCAAACGAACAUCUUAAGAUCUCUCGAAACAAGAUGUUGCUUCUGGGGCUGCUCAUACUGUCGAUGGUCAUGGCAACAAAGGAAGAAGCCAGGUUCUUGGAAAUGGUAAGAUUGUCGAUUGUUUUACCCUUCUCGAUCGUGUUGUGGCCUUCCCUUAACUAGGAUUUGGGAACUGAAACCAAAAGCGAGGAAGAAGAUGAAGACAAGAUAAUGAAGAAAAGCAUCCAUGAGCUUGAAGGAGUUUUUUCGAUCAUUAAUGUUUAAAAUACCCGAACUCAAUAUUAAUAUAUCUAUCAACGUGAACAUGAUUUUUUUUCUUU